UUUUAACGACAAGGUUGUUUUGGUGGAGGGAGUAGGGAUUUGUGCUGUUUGUAACACAAAGUGAGGCAUUGCUCUUCUUACUUUUUUUAUUCCUUGUUUGGAUGAUAGACAGUUCUUGUUCUUUUAGGGUUUGGUUUGGUUUGGUUUGGUUAGGUUAGUGUUAGUUUAGGAGGAGGAGGAGGUGGUGGUGGUGGUGGACGGGUUUUGUUUCAUUUCUCGACGGAGACGAAGGAAAGAAAGAGAGGAGAGAGGAUGGGUGGGAUUUUUUAUGGGUG
rnacentral:lncRNA from 1 species